UACGAAGGGAGCUAGCGUUGUUCGGAAUCACUGGGCGUAAAGCGCACGUAGGCGGAUUUGUCAGUCGGGGGUGAAAUCCCGAGGCUCAACCUCGGAACUGCCUCCGAUACAGCCAAGCUCGAGUCCGGGAGAGGGGGGCGGAAUUCCUGGUGUAGAGGUGAAAUUCGUAGAUAUUGGGAGGAACACCAGCGGCGAAGGCGGCCUGCUGGCCGGUGACUGACGCUGAGACGCGAAAGCGUGGGGAGCAAACAGG
rnacentral:rRNA from 1 species